rnacentral:rRNA from 1 species
UACAGAGGGGGCAAGCGUUAUUCGGAAUUAUUGGGCGUAAAGGGCGCGUAGGCGGCUUUGCAAGUGACGGGUGAAAUCCCUCGGCUUAACCGAGGAACUGCCUGUCAAACUGCAUGGCUUGAGACCGGGAGAGGUGAGUGGAAUUCCCAGUGUAGCGGUGAAAUGCGUAGAUAUUGGGAAGAACACCCGUGGCGAAGGCGGUUCUCUGGGACGGUACUGACGCUGAGACGCGAAAGCGUGGGAGCGAACAGG